GCCGGAUAGAGCUGAUGGAUUUUACCUUAGCUUGGGUUUCAGAUUACUUUCCAGUAUUCCUUCAACUCGAUCAGUACUUGGAGCUGGGGAAAUCCAUAUAUUCUGAGUGCCAAAGUGCUACAAAGAGAUGAGACAAUGGCUUAUUUUUCAGUCAUUUCCGUCACGCUACUUCUUGAGCUUGAGCAGCCAG